rnacentral:rRNA from 1 species
AAUGAUAUUAAUUUAAUGGCCGCGGUAUUUUGACCGUGCAAAGGUAGCAUAAUCAUUAGUUCAUUAAUUGUGAAAUGGUAUGAAUGGUUUAACGAAACAUUGACUGUCUCAAAUUUAUUAUUAAAAUUUAAUUUUUUGGUUAAAAAGCUUAAAUUUUUUUAAAGGACGAGAAGACCCUAUAGAUCUUUAUUUUUAAUAUUUAUUCUUUUUUUGUUUUGUUUUAAUUAUUUGAUUUUUAAUUGGGGUGAUUUUGAGAUUUGGUUAACUCUUAUUUUUUUUUUUCAUUUAUUUAUGUUUAUAUGACCUUUUAUUAUUGUUUAUAANAAAAANAUACCUUAGGGAUAACAGCGUAAUUCUAUUUGANAGUUCAUAUUGACAAUGGAGAUUGCGACCUCGAUGUUGAAUUAANAUUAGUUUUUGGUGUANAAGCUUUAAUUUUAGGUCUGUUCGACCUUUAAAAUCUUACAUGAUCUGAGUUCAAA